ACGAACGCUGGCGGCGUGCUUAACACAUGCAAGCCGAACGGAAAGGCCCUGCUUUUGUGGGGUGCUCGAGUGGCGAACGGGUGAGUAACACGUGAGUAACCUGCCCUUGACUUUGGGAUAACUUCAGGAAACUGGGGCUAAUACUGGAUAGGAGCUCCUGCUGCAUGGUGGGGGUUGGAAAGUUUCGGCGGUUGGGGAUGGACUCGCGGCUUAUCAGCUUGUUGGUGGGGUAGUGGCUUACCAAGGCUUUGACGGGUAGCCGGCCUGAGAGGGUGACCGGCCACAUUGGUACUGAGAUACGGCCCAGACUCCUACGGGAGGCAGCAGUGGGGAAUAUUGCACAGUGGGCGGAAGCCUGAUGCAGCAACGCCGCGUGCGGGAUGACGGCCUUCGGGUUGUAAACCGCUUUCGCCUGUGACGAAGCGUGAGUGACGGUAAUGGGUAAAGAAGCACCGGCUAACUACGUG
rnacentral:rRNA from 1 species